AUGUCAAAAUGACACUUUUUGAUCAGUUGCUUAUAUCUUUCCCAAGCUUCAUUGAAGGAUUCACCUUCUUUCUGUCUGAAGGUUUGAAUAUCCACUCUAAGCUU